UAAACGGACGCGCGGGGGCAACCCUGGCGGUUUAGUGGCGAACGGGUGAGUAAUAUAUCGGAACGUGCCCAGUCGUGGGGGAUAACGCAGCGAAAGCUGUGCUAAUACCGCAUACGAUCUACGGAUGAAAGCGGGGUGAUCGCAAGACCUCGCGCGAUUGGAGCGGCCGAUAUCAGAUUAGCUAGUUGGUGAGGUAAAGGCUCACCAAGGCGACGAUCUGUAGCUGGUCUGAGAGGACGACCAGCCACACUGGAACUGAGACACGGUCCAGACUCCUACGGGAGGCAGCAGUGGGGAAUUUUGGACAAUGGGCGCAAGCCUGAUCCAGCAAUGCCGCGUGCAGGAUGAAGGCCUUCGGGUUGUAAACUGCUUUAUGUACGGAACGAAAACGGUGAGCUCUAAUACAGUUUGCUAAUGACGGUACCGUAAGAAUAAGCACCGGCUAACUACGUGCCAGCAGCCGCGGUAAUACGUAGGGUGCGAGCGUUAAUCGGAAUUACUGGGCGUAAAGCGUGCGCAGGCGGUUAUGUAAGACAGAUGUGAAAUCCCCCGGGGCUCCAACCCUGGGAACCUGGCAUUAUCGUUGACUUGCAUUAGACUAAGAGUACAGGGUAAGAGGGGGGAAUGGAAUUUCCGCGCUGUACGCAAGUGAAAUGCGUACAAUAUGCCGGAGGAAACAACCGAUAGGCCGCAAAGGACAUCACCUGGAUCCU
rnacentral:rRNA from 1 species